GUCGUUUCGUUUGGGCCGUGUGUGUUUCCGUCCUCCUGUUCUGACUUCUCUGUUUCUCUCGAUCCCCUCCCCCAUCCUGCCAGCCUCCCCGCCGGCCACCGCUCUCCGCCGCCGCCGCCGCCGCCGCCCUCGGCCUCCAGCUAGUUAGGCGAUAUCCGUCCUCCUACCAGGUUCAGUUCCUCUGGCGAAACAAGCCGUGCAGACGGGAGCAAGAGCGAGGAGACGAGAGGAGGGAUGCAGCAGCUGCAGCCGAAGCAGAUGCACUGGGUGAGGGCCGACUCCUCCGACUUCGGGGGCGACCGCCCCGCCCCCCGCAGCGGGCACACGGCGGUGAGCAUUGGCAAGUCCAAGGUGGUCUUCUUCGGCGGAUUCGCCGACAAGCGCUUCCUCUCUGACGUCUCCGUCUACGACGUCGAGAAUAAGCUAUGGUACUCGCCUGAGUGUACCGUUAAUGGAUCGGAUGGGCAGGCAGGCCCGAGCCCAAGGGCGUUUCACGUAGCUGUCGUGAUUGACUGCAACAUGUUCAUAUUUGGUGGCCGUUCUGGGGGCAAGCGGUUAGGUGAUUUUUGGAUGCUAGACACCGACCUAUGGCAGUGGUCGGAGAUGACUGGCUUUGGUGAUUUGCCGUCACCUCGGGAGUUUGCUGCUGCUUCAGCCAUAGGAAAUAGAAAAAUUGUUAUGUAUGGUGGUUGGGAUGGCAAAAAAUGGCUUUCAGAUGUAUACAUCAUGGACACAAUGUCACUGGAGUGGACAGAAUUAGCAGUUACUGGAUCCGUGCCGCCUCCAAGAUGUGGGCAUUCUGCAACUAUGAUUGAGAAGAGACUGCUUAUAUUUGGAGGCAGAGGUGGAGCAGGGCCGAUAAUGGGUGAUUUAUGGGCUUUAAAGGGAAUUACGGAAGAAGACAAUGAGACACCAGGUUGGACACAAUUGAAGCUUCCAGGGCAAUCUCCCUCACCACGAUGCGGCCAUUCAAUAACGUCCGGUGGACCUUAUCUCUUGCUAUUUGGAGGACAUGGAACUGGUGGUUGGCUAAGUAGAUAUGACGUGUACUACAAUGAAUGCAUCAUUUUAGACAGGGUCUCUGUCCAGUGGAAGCGCCUACCAACAAGCAAUGAACCACCUCCUCCUCGGGCAUAUCACUCCAUGACUUCAAUAGGGUCUCAAUUUCUUUUAUUUGGCGGCUUUGAUGGAAAGAAUACAUUUGGCGAUUUGUGGUGGCUUGUCCCUGAAGAUGAUCCUAUUGCCAAACGAGAUUCAGCUCCUAAUAUCGAUUCAAACAGCAAACCUAGCACUAUGACUGGUGAUGCCCAGCAAUCCAACUUAAAGAAGUCGCAAGCUCUGGGGUCUCCAAUAACAGAAUUGGCCAAACGAUUGGGAAUUCCACUUUCUGAGGAAGUUUCAACAAGUUUUGUUGACGAAAUCAAUGAUAAAGAACUUUUGGUGUUGUCCUCAAGGCUUGUUGGUCAAUCACUUCCGGCCAGUGACCAGGUGGCAUCAAUUCAGGUACUUCGUGAUCAUUGGAAAAAUUCUCCAGCAAGCUCGCUACAACUGCACGAACUAGGACCUUUGCUGAGAGACUAUCAACGUCUCAUCCUCCGGCGCUAUUCGGGAGAUCCAUUGACAGCAUUUCCUGAAACGGAAGCUCUACGUUUCUUCCAUUUGAAAAGUGCUUCACAGUUGCGCAUGGAUGACAUUCCCCUCUUGUUGAGUGAAUAUGGAAGGCUUCUUUCGACAUGAGAUGGCAUCUUCCAAGUUGUGCCAUUUUCUUUGGUGGGUGCUUUUGAACAUAAGGUUUCAAUUGAGCAUUUGUAACUUCCGAACAACACAAGGGAACCGUUGCUCAAAUGUGCCAUCUAUCUGACUUUUGGGUAGGACCGGGCACAACAGAAUGAUGACUAUGAUGGUAUGAUACCAAACCUUCUUUGUCCAAAGAUAGUUGAAGAAUACUCGCAGAAGUACAGAACUGUGCAUCAUGGACAUAUAUAGGAUGUUUCAUUUCAAAACUGAAGCAACUACUCCUGGGAUCAACAAAUCAGACAGGAAUUUUUUUUUUCCAAUAAGGAGACAGGAAGAAACUUUUCGCUUCUUCUCAAAUCCUUUUUGUUCCCUGCCUUUGCUUUCUUGUGUCAUGUUCUUUUCAUUUUAGGUAAUUGUAUGUUCUGUCCAGGCUGGCUGUACAAAUGCACACAAGUAUCAAUGUAAUAUCACGCAUACAUUGGCGCGUACAUGAUACAUGGUUCCGUGGCCAUGCGUGGCACGACUUCUCUUGGAGCCAUUUCUUACUGUCA